ACAUUUCCUUUAGAAUAAUUUUUGAAGGUAUAUUCUGCUCAAUGAUUAAUUUUAAAUAGCUGCAGUAUAUUGACUGUACAAAGGUAGCAUAAUAAUUAGUUCAUUAAUUGUGAACUGGAAUGAAUGAAUUUAUGAAAUACUUAUUUUAUUUAUUUUAUUAUUAAAAUUUUAUUAUUAGGUUAAAAAGCUUAAUUAAUUUUUAGGGACGAUAAGACCCUAUAGAGGUUUAAUUUUAAUUUUUAUUUGAAUAUUUUAUUGUUUUAUUAAUUUUUAAUAAGUUUAUUAUUUUUUCUGGGGCGGAAGAUAAAUUUUAACUUUAUUUUUUUUGUUCAUUAAUUUGUGAUUGUGUUGAUCUGAAAUUUUUUUGAUUAUAAGAAUAAGUUACCUUAGGGAUAACAGCGUAAUUUCAAUGGGGAGUUCUUAUUUAUAUUGAAGUUUGCGACCUCGAUGUUGAAUUAAGAUUAGAUUUUGGGGUAGUUUUUAAUUUUCUAAGUCUGUUCGACUUUUAAAUUCUUACAUGAUCUG
rnacentral:rRNA from 1 species